AUGUUUCAGUCACCGUCACAGCCAGGGUCUCACUGGUUCAUAGACUGUCUUCCCAGGACGGAGAGUCUGAGGGACCCAGAAGCAGGUCAAAGGCAAGGUCAUCCCAGCGCUGGCGUUCCCGGGGAGCGCUGCGAGACGGAGCUGCCCCUGGACCACGGGGCUUGGGGUGUCACCCACCCCAGGGAAUGGCCAUUCCCGCUGAGUGAGGACAGGAGACACUGGGGGACUUGGGGAAGCGAGGGCGGCGACAUAGCAGAGAGGCUGGAGCCCCAACACGGAUGCGGGUCAGUGGCUCCAGUGACCCGGGAGGCCCAGCCGGGUCUGAACCUGUGCUUUCCCAGGCUCCCGGGUGACGCAGGUGCAGCCGCUGGGACCCCAAGGAUGAGGCCUCCAGACCCAGGUCCCCACCCUCACGCUGGCCGAUGGCAACCGUGGCCCCUCGGGAACCACGGCCACUCACGUGUCACGGAGUCACAGGGUCACAGUCACGGGGGUCACAGAGCCAGCGGGGUCACGGAGCCAGCGGAGUCAUGGGGUCACGGAGUCACAGGGGUCAUGGAGCCAGCAGGGUCACAGAGUCACGGGGGUCACAGUCAUGAGGUCACAGAGCCAGCGGGGUCACAGAGUCAUGGAAGGGCGUGGCCAGGGCCUAGGAUGGGGUGGGGAGAGGGUUCCCCCAACAAACAGACGCUCAGGUCAGGCCUAGUAUCCAGAGGACACUCAGGGAGGAGUCCGGCAUGGCUCCGGCGUGCGCCACCAGGACACGGCACGAGGUGGAACCGGCCCCAUCGUUCCCCGGGACUCACCCUUAAUUCAUCACAAAAGGAGCGACUUCAGGAUGGGGUAUCAGUGCUCCCCGCAGAGCUCCCGGGGCCUCCUCGCAUCACCCCACAUCUGCCUGGCCCGGAGGGUGGGGCGUCCUGAAGAAGGUUCCAGAAGCAAGGCCAGCUACCCCCCUGCCCCGCGGCUGCACUGUCUGAGCCCGCCUGAACCGCCGAGGUCACUGCUGCAGGAGCCCGUGUCCUGGACUCGACGGGCCACCCUGCCCCUCACCGCCCCCCCCAGGGUUGGCCGGGAACCAGGAGCUGCUUCCCCAGGCACAGGGGGAGCCUCUGCAGGAGGCUGAGCGCCCCUCUGCCCCCAUCCCCCGGGCGCACAAAGCCACGUGGCAUUUUCACAUUAUGCCUUUAUUUCUGCAGCCGGCGGGGGUGGGGGGGCACCCCGGGGACCCAGACCCAGCUCAGAGCAACCAACAGCGGGGCGGCUGCCUCAAACCCGCGAGCAGACGCAGACUCCCACGCGGGAAAGUCAUCUGUUUUACCCAAAUAGACGGACCCACGUCCACCGAACCCGACCUGCGAACCACUGAGAGGACGAGCACCUGGUUCAGGUGUCGGAUCCGGGCAGUGAGGUCAGAGGUCACCACGCGGUUGCAAUCACAUCUGAAGACCCUGUUCGUGGGGACCCCUUGGUAGAAGCCGGCUCGGGACUGGGGUCACCCCUCGACUCGAGGUUGUGGUCC
rnacentral:lncRNA from 12 species